rnacentral:rRNA from 1 species
AGAGACAGCAGCCGCCACGGUAAAACGAAGGGGGCUAGCGUUGCUCGGAAUUACUGGGCGUAAAGCGCACGUAGGCGGCUUGGUAAGUUAGAGGUGAAAGCCUGGAGCUCAACUCCAGAAUUGCCUUUAAGACUGCCGAGCUAGCAGGUGAGAGAGGUAAGUGGAAUUCCGAGUGUAGAGGUGAAAUUCGUAGAUAUUCGGAAGAACACCAGUGGCGAAGGCGGCUUACUGGCUCAUACUGGACGCUGAGGUGCGAAAGCGUGGGGAGCAAACAGGAUUAGAUACCCGCGUAGUCCCUGUCUCUUAUAA